rnacentral:rRNA from 1 species
CUUAAAUUGAAGAGUUUGAUCAUGGCUCAGAUUGAACGCUGGCGGCAGGCCUAACACAUGCAAGUCGAGCGGCAGCGGGAAGAAGCUUGCUUCUUUGCCGGCGAGCGGCGGACGGGUGAGUAAAGUCUGGGGAUCUGCCUGAUGGAGGGGGAUAACUACUGGAAACGGUAGCUAAUACCGCAUAACGUCGCAAGACCAAAGUGGGGGACCUUAGGGCCUCACACCAUCGGAUGAACCCAGAUGGGAUUAGCUAGUAGGCGGGGUAAGGGCCCACCUAGGCGACGAUCCCUAGCUGGUCUGAGAGGAUGACCAGCCACACUGGAACUGAGACACGGUCCAGACUCCUACGGGAGGCAGCAGUGGGGAAUAUUGCACAAUGGGGGAAACCC